rnacentral:tmRNA from 1 species
GGGGGCGUACAUGGUUUCGACGGGGAUCAUGGAGGCCGGAUAAGCGAGCCGAAGACCCGUGCUUCGUUAAAAAUGGGGAAACUUAAAUUUAACUGGCAAAUCUGAUUUUGCACUCGCUGCCUAAUUAGGCAGUGCGUCGGCCCGGGACUUCCCACGGCCCCGGUCACCGGCGUCAUUAAUGUGGGGAACCAGCCUGCUUAAGCUUUGCGGCAGGUGGGACUUUAUGAAGCUACCGAAGCCCUGAUCCUGUUGGUGGGAGCUGAUUUGGCAGAGGGAAGGUUAAAACAUCAACUACGCUCGUAGAAAGUCUUGUUGACAGGUUUUCGGACAGGGGUUCGACUCCCCUCGCCUCCACCA